GUUGGUGGCUAUAGCAACGAGUCGUAAUAAUUCGGCUGCUCUGCUGUCUAAAAUCAGUUGACACGUGCAUGUCAGGGCGAUUGAGUGACGACAGCCUUCCUAAUAUUUUGUCAUCUUAAAGCGACAGGCGAGUCCUGAAAAGCACCAGCUCCCGAAGCCAAGCAUCUGCAUCCUAUUUACAAGAACCUCUUCACUCUAAGCAGCUUCUCUAAGGAGCCUACGCCUGAGCUUGUAUCGAUGGCAACGGGGGAUUCCCAAGACGACGUGCAGUACGUACGGACUCUCAGUAAGCAGAGCACCGCCAAAAAUGUCACAACUGAAGAAAACAACAAUUGCCCUGAAGAAAAAGACCUGCAAACGAUCUUCGAAAACUUGACUACAGCUGACGAAACAGAAAUGGAAGAAGAUGUGUCAGUAUUGUUGAAAUUUCGUCCUGUCGAUGCCCUAUUUUCCGAUGUCACUUUUCAACUCGUUGGUUCCAUGGAUGCGGAUUUGAUCUCUUGGACGACAUAUCUCAUUGAAAGUAACGGAGGUCGCGUGUUGGCAAACGACGCCAAAUACAAGGUUACUACACCCGUCGUCCAUGCCGAAUUGCUCCCAGACGAUCCAGUUGGGCAAGCUGUUGUGAUCAACACAUUUUGGAUCGAGGACUGCAUCGAUGAGGAUUGUCUAGUGGAAAUUGAAAUCUAUCAUCAACCAAUCAAAUUCCAGAACAGUCAAAUAUUUGCAGGAUGUGUGGUGUCGUUCAGUGGGAUUCAAGGUCGACUGAGCGAUUUCCUUCAGUACUUGGUCGAUCAUCUUGGAGGCAAACAACAACAGUUCUUCUCUCGCAAAAUGGUCGAAGCUAAAGACGUUUACCCUUCCACACAUCUUGUAUGCCCCAAAGCUGAAGGAAGGAAAUAUGAAAAAGCCGUCAAGUGGGGAGUCCCUGUCGUUAACGCUGAAUGGAUUUUUGCAUCCGCCACUUCUAGUACUCGACUGAAGGAAACAGAUUUCGGGAUCUUUCGACCACCUGGUGAUCGUGAUGAAACACUCUCAGCUCCUACUUCAUUUUCGUCAAUUACUUUUGAUGCCCCCACGCCUGUUCAAAUGGGGCAACCAACGAUUCCUGUGAUACUUCCUGUCCUGACUGACUCGGCUUCAGAGGGCUUUUUACUGCAGACAUCAAAUGCCGGAUCCAUCACCAAAUACUCGAAAACUGUGGAAACAUGCAGUGGAUAACCGCGUCCGUUUGACGCCCAGAACCGAAGAUUCACCGACCACUACGUCACCAAUCAAGAGUGAAAGAGAAACUUUGGUUUCCCUCGCCGAGGAUUAUUUUGCAAAUCUAACUGAAAAAAUUUUAAACUGCAAUUGGGAAGUUACAGAUGAGGUGACAAACGCAGAAGCUUCGCCUUUGCCGGAUCCGAAUCUUCCUCCGUUACACGAGGCGAGGAUUUUUAUUGGCCAGGAGAUCGAAGAAGACAGACGACUCGAGAUGGAGGAAUUCAUCAGGAUUUUGGGCGGCCAAGUUAUUCUCCAGCACUCCCAGGAAGUAACUCAUUUCAUAUGUCAGGGCGAGUUGACCCCUUCCGAAGAUAUGCAGAAUGCCAGAAAAUGGAAUCAACUGUUCGUCUUGCCUCAGUGGAUCGUAGACUGCGAAUAUGCUGGAUGUCGUUUGCGUGCUGCAACUUGCUAUCAACCGUCCCUAAACUUUGAAACAGCUUUAUUACCAGAUGUUGCGCCCGUCUCUUCCGGUCCCCUGGAAACAACACAUGAACUGCAAAGCCUUCCCAACAGUCUAGCUGAAGAAGAAAAACCCUUGCAGGCCGAGCAAGUUCUCCCUCGUCCAACUCAGGAGAUUUCCUUGCCAAACGAUCCAGUAGCUAGCCAGUUGGAAAAUGUUCCUGUACGUUUGGCACCACCACCGUGUUCACCAGAUGCAGUUAGCCGGAUAUCACAAAGGCCAAAUGCAUCGAAGAGACUAAACGAGUCGAAGAGGCUAAAUGCUUCACGGUACAGUGGCCAUUCUUUCCGGAUCAUGUUCUCCGGUAUGUCACAAGAAGAUCGGGACAGCUGUGUUCAAAUAAUCGAAGUGCUAGGCGGGAUUGCCAUCGAUGGCAAACAUUACGAUUCAACAUGCACUCACCUUGUAGUAGCAAAACUUGAGUGUAACGACAAGCUGAUGACAUCUAUCGCUGCUGGAAAAUGGAUUGUUCAUCCUGGAUGGAUCGCAAAGAGCGAGCAGACUCAUCACUUUGUUGAUGAGCGAAUAUUCGAGUGGGGCAAUCCUACGUCCAAUGAUUCCAUUUCCAAAGAGGAAGCCAGUAUUGCCGCCGCUGCUUAUUACUGGCGCACUAUUCGAAACCGUGGCCUUUCUACCGGCCCUUUCCAAGGCAUUAAGGCCGUACUUUACCUCCGCAAGAAGAACGAUGCCUUCCAGCAGUUGAUUGAAGCCGGCGGAGGAGAAGUGAUUGCUCCCGAAUUGGCUUUGGAGAAUGGAAAGACCAACCUCUGUGUCCUGGAUAGUCGUGAAAUCAACAAAAUUAAACUUCGUUUAUACGCCAGUAAAGGUAUCUAUUGCGUCCCACCCAAUUAUCUCAGGGACUUGAUCCUCGCCAAAGACAAGAAGUGUAAGUGGGCGGAAUGUGUUUUGCCAGAAUUUCUCCCCUUUUUAGACACCAUUCCUUCAACCCACAUUUAGUUAUUCUAUUGUCGUUAUCUGUUCCUAUAGCUGAUUUAUCUCGAAAUAGUGUCUUAACUUGUUCUUUAGCGUCAGCAAUAAUUAUUGAACCAGGUUGCGGUUUUUGAUUGGGUUACAAAAGACUUUUAACGAAUGUUUGUUGAGAAAAUUGCAUGCUGUUUGUUUUUUUAAGAAAAGAAAGUGAUGGGAACAAUUAUGUAGAUUCUCAAAAUAAUCCUCCGCGAGGGAAUCCGAAAUUUCUCUUUCAUUCUUGAUUGGUGACGUAGUGGUCGGUGAAUCAUCCAUUCUGGGCGUCAAACGGACGCAAAUCCAAUGCAUGUUUCCACAGUUUUCGAGCCGUUUGUAUUUUUUGUUCGGUUGCAGAGUAGUGAUGGAGUACGGUAGCUUGUGAUUUCUUUUCAUUUUCAAAGAAUGGCUUGUGCUAUAUAGUUGUUAAUUCUACGUAGAAUAUUUAUGUGAUGUUUAUUUCUUUUACGGUGACUUAACUACUUUCUGUCAAAUUUGCAUUAGUAAUGAGUUUAACAUCCCAUAAUCCCCUAUCGCACUGCCAGGAAAGAAAUUUGGGUAAUGGAUUAUUUACCGUAACGGCGUAUUGGGAAACGCGCAACCCAAGGAGCUGUGACUUUGUUAGCAUUUAUUUAUGUUUUUGCAGCGUCUGAUUAUGAGUUGGGCGUUGGAUUAUUUUACAUAAUAGUGAAAACCAAAUCCAUUUUGCCUUCCAGUUCCAGGUUUCUUUUGCACUUUGAAUUCUAAAUAAAGCAAUCUACCCGUUCGCAAAUUCCCCAUUCAUCAGGCAUUUAUUUGUUUACGAUUCUAUCAUAAUUAUUGCAGUUGGUCUUCACUAUAGUCAACUAGUAGCAUUUAUUCAUUAAACUGGUGUUACUUUGUUUAGAAAUUGGUUCAGAAACAGGCAUUGCUUAUAUAUUACCUUACAUUAAAUUAUUUAAAUUACGUUUAUUCUCGCCAAAAUGUGCCUAAUGAUUAAGAAUCACGAUAUGCAUCAGUAAACUUGUAGAUGCAUGAGAUUGUUGAAUUAAAAAUUGAUUUAGUCGUCUGACACAAUUUUUGCAAAAAUAAACUAACGCCUUCUGUU